CCCCUCUCAGGGUCACACCUGGAGAGUUUCCAGGCCUCUAACCAGUCUUGGCUAAGGGAGGAAGAGCCAAGCAGAUGCAUACAUACCCAUUCCAUUCCUAGUUUGGGCAGUGGCUAGCGAGCGGAAGGCAAUCUGCUACAAGU